rnacentral:misc_RNA from 1 species
AAGGAUCAUUACAGUGCCCGCGGGACCCCGGGAACCCCCGGCGGCCCGCGCCCGGCCACACGUGUCUACAUACCUUCAGUUGCUUCGGCGGGCCCGUCCUCCUCGGACCGCCGGGGGAGCGUACCCACGCGCCCCUGGCCCGCGCCCGCCGAGGGACCCCUCAGAAUCUCCUGCAUCAGUGCCGUCUGAGUGACCAGUCAAUAUGAACAAAACUUUCAACAACGGAUCUCUUGGUUCCG